UGGGGAAUAUUGGACAAUGUGCGCAAGCCUGAUCCAGCCAUGCCGCGUGAGUGAUGAAGGCCCUAGGGUUGUAAAGCUCUUUCACCGGUGAAGAUAAUGACGGUAACCGGAGAAGAAGCCCCGGCUAACUUCGUGCCAGCAGCCGCGGUAAUACGAAGGGGGCUAGCGUUGUUCGGAUUUACUGGGCGUAAAGCGCACGUAGGCGGACUAUUAAGUCAGGGGUGAAAUCCCGGGGCUCAACCCCGGAACUGCCUUUGAUACUGGUAGUCUUGAGUUCGAGAGAGGUGAGUGGAAUUCCGAGUGUAGAGGUGAAAUUCGUAGAUAUUCGGAGGAACACCAGUGGCGAAGGCGGCACACUGGCUCGAUACUGACGCUGAGGUGCGAAAGCGUGGGGAGCAAACAGG
rnacentral:rRNA from 1 species